rnacentral:rRNA from 1 species
AUUGAACGCUGGCGGCAGGCCUAACACAUGCAAGUCGAGCGGAUGAAGGGAGCUUGCUCCUGGAUUCAGCGGCGGACGGGUGAGUAAUGCCUAGGAAUCUGCCUGGUAGUGGGGGAUAACGUCCGGAAACGGGCGCUAAUACCGCAUACGUCCUGAGGGAGAAAGUGGGGGAUCUUCGGACCUCACGCUAUCAGAUGAGCCUAGGUCGGGUUAGCUAGUUGGUGGGGUAAAGGCCUACCAAGGCGACGAUCCGUAACUGGUCUGAGAGGAUGAUCAGUCACACUGGAACUGAGACACGGUCCAGACUCCUACGGGAGGCAGCAGUGGGGAAUAUUGGACAAUGGGCGAAAGCCUGAUCCAGCCAUGCCGAGUGUGUGAAGAAGGUCUUCGGAUUGUAAAGCACUUUAAGUUGGGAGGAAGGGCAGUAAGUUAAUACCUUGCUGUUUUGACGUUACCAACAGAAUAAGCACCGGCUAACUUCGUG